rnacentral:rRNA from 1 species
UACGUAGGGUGCAAGCGUUGUCCGGAAUUAUUGGGCGUAAAGAGCUUGUAGGCGGUUUGUCGCGUCUGCUGUGAAAUUUCGGGGCUCAACCCCGAACUUGCAGUGGGUACGGGCAGACUAGAGUGUGGUAGGGGAGACUGGAAUUCCUGGUGUAGCGGUGGAAAUGCGCAGAUAUCAGGAGGAACACCGAUGGCGAAGGCAGGUCUCUGGGAAUAUUCUGACGCUGAGGAGCGAAAGUGUGGGGAGCGAACAGG